GGGUUGUGAGGUUAAGCGACUAAGCGUACACGGUGGAUGCCCUGGCAGUCAGAGGCGAUGAAGGACGUGCUAAUCUGCGAUAAGCGCCGGUAAGGUGAUAUGAACCGUUAUAACCGGCGAUUUCCGAAUGGGGAAACCCAGUGUGACUCGUCACACUAUCAUUAACUGAAUCCAUAGGUUAAUGAG
rnacentral:rRNA from 1 species